rnacentral:rRNA from 1 species
UAAAGAAGCUUGCUUCUUUGAUGACGAGUGGCGGACGGGUGAGUAAUGCUUGGGAAUCUAGCUUAUGGAGGGGGAUAACUACGGGAAACUGUAGCUAAUACCGCGUAGAAUCGGGAGAUGAAAGUGUGGGACCUUCGGGCCACAUGCCAUAGGAUGAGCCCAAGUGGGAUUAGGUAGUUGGUGAGGUAAAGGCUCACCAAGCCGACGAUCUCUAGCUGGUCUGAGAGGAUGACCAGCCACACUGGGACUGAGACACGGCCCAGACUCCUACGGGAGGCAGCAGUGGGGAAUAUUGCGCAAUGGGGGCAACCCUGACGCAGCCAUGCCGCGUGAAUGAAGAAGGCCUUCGGGUUGUAAAGUUCUUUCGGUAGCGAGGAAGGCAUUUAGUUUAAUAGACUAGGUGAUUGACGUUAACUACAGAAGAAGCACCGGCUAACUCCGUGCCAGCAGCCGCGGUAAUACGGAGGGUGCGAGCGUUAAUCGGAAUAACUGGGCGUAAAGGGCACGCAGGCGGUGACUUAAGUGAGGUGUGAAAGCCCCGGGCUUAACCUGGGAAUUGCAUUUCAUACUGGGUCGCUAGAGUACUUUAGGGAGGGGUAGAAUUCCACGUGUAGCGGUGAAUGCGUAGAGAUGUGGAGGAA